rnacentral:rRNA from 1 species
GCACUAAUUAAAUAAAUUAAUUUUAUUUUAUAUAUCAUUAUAAUAAAAAUAAAUUAUAAAGAUUUAUUUAAAAUUUAUUUUGAUAAAAAAAAUUAAAUCAAGAUAUAGAAUAAUUAAUAUAUAAUGAAUUAUUUUAAAUAAAAUUUAAUUUAAUAAAAUGAAAUAUUUAUUAUAUUAAAAUUUUAAAGUAAAAUUAAAUAAAUAUUUAAAUUGAAUUAAUUUAUUAUUAUGUACAAAUUGCCCGUCACUUUUAAAUAAAAAAUAAGUCGUAACAAAGUAAAUAUAUUGGAAAAUGUAUUUUUAA